CCUACGGGAGGCAGCAGUGGGGAAUAUUGCACAAUGGGCGCAAGCCUGAUGCAGCGACGCCGCGUGAAGGAUGAAGGUCUUCGGAUUGUAAACUUCUAUCAGCAGGGAAGAAUAAUGACGGUACCUGACUAAGAAGCCCCGGCUAACUACGUGCCAGCAGCCGCGGUAAU
rnacentral:rRNA from 1 species